AGUGAACGCUGGCGGCAGACCUAAUACAUGCAAGUCGAACGGCAGCACAGCAGAGCUUGCUCUGUGGGUGGCGAGUGGCGGACGGGUGAGGAAUACAUGGGAAUCUGCCCAGUCGUGGGGGAUAACGUAUGGAAACGUACGCUAAUACCGCAUGCGCCCUACGGGGGAAAGCCGGGGACCGCAAGGCCUGGCGCGAUUGGAUGAGCCCAUGUUCGAUUAGCUAGUUGGCGGGGUAAAGGCCCACCAAGGCGACGAUCGAUAGCUGGUCUGAGAGGAUGAUCAGCCACACUGGAACUGAGACACGGUCCAGACUCCUACGGGAGGCAGCAGUAGGGAAUAUUGGACAAUGGGGGCAACCCUGAUCCAGCCAUGCCGCGUGAGUGAAGAAGGCCCUCGGGUUGUAAAGCUCUUUUGUCCGGAAAGAAAAGCAAUCGGUUAAUACCCGGUUGUUCUGACGGUACCGGAAGAAUAAGCACCGGCUAACUUCGUGCC
rnacentral:rRNA from 1 species